UCCGGUUGAUCCUGCCGGAGGCCACUGCUAUCGGGGUCCGACUAAGCCAUGCGAGUCAUGGGGCUCCCUUUUGGGAGCACCGGCGAACGGCUCAGUAACACGUGGCUAACCUACCCUCGGGUGGGGGAUAACCUCGGGAAACUGAGGCUAAUCCCCCAUAGGGGAGGAGGUCUGGAAUGAUCCCUCCCCGAAAGGUGUAAGCCGCCCGAGGAUGGGGCUGCGGCGGAUUAGGUAGUUGGUGGGGUAAUGGCCCACCAAGCCUACGAUCCGUACGGGCCCUGGGAGGGGGAGCCCGGAGAUGGACACUGAGACACGGGUCCAGGCCCUACGGGGCGCAGCAGGCGCGAAACCUCCGCAAUGCGCGAAAGCGCGACGGGGGGACCCCGAGUGCCCUGCCUCUGGCAGGGCUUUUCCGGAGUGUAAACAGCUCCGGGAAUAAGGGCUGGGCAAGUCCGGUGCCAGCAGCCGCGGUAAUACCGGCGGCCCAAGUGGUGGCCACUAUUAUUGGGCCUAAAGCGUCCGUAGCCGGGCUGGUAAGUCCCCCGGGAAAUCUGGCGGCUUAACCGUCAGACUGCCGGGGGAUACUGCCAGCCUAGGGACCGGGAGAGGCCGGGGGUAUUCCCGGGGUAGGGGUGAAAUCCUGUAAUCCCGGGAGGACCACCUGUGGCG
rnacentral:rRNA from 1 species